rnacentral:rRNA from 1 species
UACGUAGGGUGCAAGCGUUGUCCGGAAUUAUUGGGCGUAAAGAGCUCGUAGGCGGCUUGUCGCGUCGGAUGUGAAAGCCCGGGGCUUAACUCCGGGUCUGCAUUCGAUACGGGCAGGCUAGAGUUCGGUAGGGGAGAUCGGAAUUCCUGUGUGAGCGGUGGAAAUGACGCAGAUAUCAGGAGGAACACCGGUGGCGAAGGCGGAUCUCUGGGCCGAUACUGACGCUGAGGAGCGAAAGCGUGGGGAGCGAACAGG